AUCUGCAGUUAAUGCUAUGGCGGCUGUCAUGGUCCGAUACAUCUGUGAUCUAGGCAAAAGUGCUACUUUUUAUGCUAGUUUAGCUGGAAGAACUCGUUGCGAUGUGUUUGACAUCAUCCAUCCAGGGGCUUGAGGAUUUGAGUUCGUCAAGGGGCUUUUCUGGGGCAUCUGAUGUUCACCGGUGACUGCUGGGUUCAGGUGUUGUUCGAGAGAUCACCCAGUUCGUUACAACAGAGGAAGUCCCAUUUGCGCAGCCCAUUUCCAGCUUUGCUCAGGUUGGAGAGACAUCAAGCGGAAAGCACAUACCUGAUUGGGUUCCGAGGCUUCCUGAUCCUCGUACCUAUGUCCGCAUGGAACAGUGGAACAAAGGGGGCAACCGACACUAAAAUGGACAAGGGCGAAGAGACAAGGCAGCGGACGAAGGCCGAGAGUUCUUUGUUGAUCUUACAGCAGCGACUUGCCUAUGAUAGUACAGCUGGGUUUCGACCUACAACUGAUGCCAGCUAUGGUAAAGAGAGGCAUAUUAGCAACCCAUUUCCGUCCCCCCCUUUGCCAUUUAUAUUAUAUUUAAUAAGACAAUACAUGGUCUGUUGCAGCUUGAUUGUCUGACAGUUUCUAAAAAUUCUUUGCAAAAGCAAAGAACCUCAUGGUGGUAAUAUUUCGAAAUUGCAAUUUCACAAGCUAACAUCUGUAUCUUUGAGUGUUUUCCUACGGCUUGAUGAUUUUCUUAAAAUUCGCAUUGACAAGAGGGGCAAGGAUCUCCUGGUGCUAUAUAUAAUGGCAGAUAAUUGAUUCUUUGAAAGCUGUUUCUGAUACUCCGAAAUUGUUAUUUCUAGUGUGUAUUUCAGCAGCAUUACUGUUGUGAUCCAUGCAUUGCAGUACAGAAUGUUGAUCUAAUUACAUUAUUUUCAUGAGUUUUUAUGCAAGUGCCUGGAAUUACUCAUCAAAGUGGGUAUUGCAAUUUGCCAUCGUGAGAUCAGCUCUGCUUUUCUGGGAUGUUCAGGAAGGCCACUGCUGAUGCCGAUGCUGACUGAAAGGUUCUUAUGUUUUUCCUUGGCGUCGAUUGGCACUGCCGAUGCCGAUUGGUCGUGUUCAUGCUCUUCGGUUGAUUACUGAAGCCAUCAACGUGUUCAAAAUCUUUCUGUCAGAGGCUGCUGGAGUUGCAAAUCUACUGAUACCCACCAUGGUGGGACUUGGAAGGUACCCCAAACAGAGCAGAUUGUGGAUGGCUUAGACCUGAAAGAUCUGGACAAGCUGAGAGCCACCUUGAGACAUGCUUCCUUGUCAAGAUGUCGAUCAUGAACCACGCAUGCCGAGUUCGGUGAUAUGUUGCUUUCACUCUUCUGCAAUAAAUAGAGUCGCAUGUUUCCAUAGCAUGCGUGAAGGCAAUGGGCGCUACUGAGAUGGUGAGAGUCCACUGCUUCUUGUGCAUGACCCUCCUCAUUCUACUCUCUGCUGCUGCUGCAGGUACUAUGGAUGUGGGUUAUGUCCAGCCAUCUAACUCCACCAUGUUCCACGGCAUCGCUGGCGGCAUCGAGUGGUUGGAAACAGAGAUGGUGACGAGCUCAUGUGGUUCAAAUCAGCACAUAGGCUACUGUGCCGUGGCGAAAUCCGGCCAACCGGCGGCCCGCCCUGCCGCCAGUGGGAGGCCUUACACCAAUGGGUGUCUGAGUUAUAACAAUUGCAGGAAUCAAUAGCCACCCUUUAAAGUCUCUUCGUUUCCAUAGGAGUCUCAUGAUCGAUGUGUCGUCGCAGAACCUACUUUGCUUGUAUGACUUGAUGAUUGCUUAUCUUUUUCCUGUGUUUGUUGUUUCACUUCUCUGCGUGGAAAACAUAAACGUUUCGAUUUAUGAAACUUAAUCGUUCUUUUU